rnacentral:misc_RNA from 1 species
GGGGCGGAUCAACCACGGGUGAA